UGACGACCGUUCCUCCUGCUGCUCUGAGUUUUGGCAUGUCAGGAUUUUAGGUCGUCACAGAGCAGACGCGGUCUAUUUCACCCAGUGCAUAGCCGGCGGCGGGGCUGCCCUCUGUGCUCUGGUUUUGCGGGACCCAACACUU